AAAGUCGUAACAAGGUUUCCGUAGGUGAACCUGCGGAAGGAUCAUUAAGAAUUCAUGGUGGUCGGCCACUCCGGGAAAGGCUAUGAACGUCGUUCCGACGACGGUCAGAAUCUCUCCCGGUUAGUGCUUAGCCGUCGCUCUUUACCUUGAUUAUGCGCACCUUUUGUUGUUUCCUCGGCAGGUCUCCUGCCGCUAGGAACCCCAUAAACCUUUGUAUAAGCAUUAAACUUCUGAAAACAAUACAAAAUUAUUUACAACUUUCAACAAUGGAUCUCUUGGUUCUG
rnacentral:misc_RNA from 1 species